UGGCGUAGUAAGGGAUCAUCUGCUCAUCACCCUCUUGGCACAAGUUGGAGACAAAGAGACAUUAUCUCCCUUGAGGAGAAGAGUGGAAAUCGGGGCAGCAGGGAGCCUUAGCAACGAAAACUUUCAAGUUUUCCUUGCUGCUUAGUCCUCAUUUUGGUGAAUAACGAGGAAAAUCAAGGGGACUAAAAGGCCCUCCUCCUGUGAAAACAAAUCCUUGAAAGUAGAAAAGUGUGGAGCUCCUACAUGGCCCGAAUAAGAGAAAAUUCACCAUGGAGCUUUGGGUGCCCAGACAAACUCUUAAAACCUCACGUGGAGACAAUAACCUUGAAAGUUAACAUCUCAUUUCUAAGAGAUUUUUGGAACUCAAAAAGCUAAGUCUUGAUCGGAGCAGACCAUGAAUAUUAUGCCAAAUACCACAUGUUCUAAAAGCAAUAACAAAAGAGCCAAACCCCUCCUCUAAGGGCUACAAGUUGAGCAAGGAAAGGAAAGAAGAGCUAAGACCAAGGAGAGGGAUUUGGGGUGAGAGAACAAGACCUGAACAUCCUGACAGCCAAUGUGGAGAAGUGCCAGGUCUCUCCAUGAGAUUGCUGAGGAGCUCCUGUGUAAACGGAGUCUACCUCAGGAGCCACCCCCCCAUCCUGCCAGUGAGAAUCGCACACCAAACCAGGUGAGAACAUAAGUCUCGCCCUUCUAAGUGCUGCGUAUCAUCAGCUGAUCAGCUAAGCAGGAACGAUGUCCAUCCCUACUUUGUGGGAACCACCCAUAUGAUCAAUCUCCCUGUAAAUGGCCCGUGAUAUUAUUGAACCUUUUUCCAUCUUGGCCCCUGCACCUUCUGCCCAGCAGAGAACCUGGAUACCUAGAAGGCCUGAGAUGGGAUGAAAGAGAAGGGGUGAUGUGCAAAGGAAAACCUUCAACACCUUUACUUUGUUGGAACAGAAAUGUAUUAGUUUCCAGUUCUCAUCUUUCUUCAUUUGAAUACAGACCAGUUACAUAUAAUUUCCUGCUGAAUACUUAAAAUAACAGAACUUUCAGUAAAAAUCUUU